rnacentral:sRNA from 1 species
GCCAGGUGUGAUGGUGCACACCUGUAAUCCCAGCUACUGGGGAGGCUGAGGCAGGAGGAUCACAAGUUCAAGGCCAGCUUGUUGCCAAUGUAAUAAGAUCCUGUGUCAA